rnacentral:piRNA from 1 species
UGAGGCUGAGCACGAGUAGUGCGGU